rnacentral:lncRNA from 1 species
AGCCGCCGCCGCCGUUUUCCCCGGUAUGGACGAACAGCGGGCGAGGUCUUUUAUGCCUUUCGCGGGAAGGUCAACAAACGGUGAGAAGCUAUCGAAAACGACCUGUUUUACCACAUUUCCAGGCCACUUGACCCACGGGGACCUGACUUUGCAACAUUCGUCGGGGGCGCUGCAAAAAGCUUAGCUUCUCGGAAACUCAGGCCUGCCUGUGUCUCUCAAGGAUGGACAGAGGUGGUUGUGGACUUAAAGACCCUUUGAUGUAAGGGAUAGAGAGAAGCUAAGUGAGCGCACCCAUCUCUGAGCAUUUCAACCGCGAGGGAAUCCGAGCAAAGUAACAAUAAGAUACAACUAAUAUCCUAGGAAUGCUGUUGGUUUACAGUGUUCUGUCAAUUUUCUCCUGUACUGUCGGGAGCCAUAAGGCUGCUCCAGUAAAGAAAGCAAAGCCACAGUCGGCACCUGCAUGAGGCUUGUCUGGUUAGCAGAGCUACAGACAAGCUGAAGAAGGAAGAAGGAUUGCAGAGCAAUCCCUUGAAAGACAUCGGCUCCAGGAAAAUAAAAAUGAUAUCCCCUAAAAAAUAUGUUAAUCUAUUUUUCUGUGUUUAUCCUUCCUUUUCUAUCUCUAUUCACAGCUUUCUUACUGCUAAAGAUUUGCCCUGGGUACGUAAAACACUUGAACCAAAACAGAAUGAAGUUAUUUAAACAAUGUAAUGGAAAAAGCCUUUGUUUUGGAGUAACAAUUUAUGGCACCUAUUUUGUGAGAGUAUACAGGGGAAACUUAUGAUUUCAGUCCCUUUACUUAAAAAGAAGUUUGGGGCUGGGAAAAAUGUUGUUUGGCCUAUAAAUUGCUAUAAUAGAUAUAUUUUUUAUCAAAUAACAGUGUCACCUGUAACUUUCAUCCCUUGUGGGGGCAUUUGUUAAUUUUUGGGUAUAAUACUCCUUUCUAUUGAAAUUGGUGGUUUGGAACUUACGUAAAUCAGCACAAUAGGUUAAAUGCUUAGCUUGCUGACGCCAAAUAAAUCGUGGUUUUAAGAAUGCCAUGAGCCCAAAGCUUUCAUGCGUUUUGUUAACCACAUACACCUUUAGUUAAAGAAUGUUAGGUAUCAUAGUUGAUUACUUAUUAAAGCUUUGUUCUUAAUAAAGAAUAGCUACUGUUGUUGACCUUUUAAGAAAAAUACAGUGUGAAACUUUAAGUUUGUAAUCUUGAAGGAAAAUCUGAAGUUGAAAGGAACAUGUUUUAACUAACCUUUUCUUUUUUUUUUGUAUCUCAGGUGGAGGGAACAAAAGGGCUUUAAAUCAAAUGUUAAUGUCAAAUCUUACACGAAACCUGAUUGUGAUAGGGUAUAAAAACUGAUGCUUUUCAUUUAAUAAAUUGGGUCAUCAGCAGCAUG